UACGUAGGGGGCUAGCGUUGUCCGGAUUUAUUGGGCGUAAAGAGCGUGUAGGCGGCCAGGUAGGUCUGGUGUGAAAACUCGAGGCUUAACCUCGAGAUGUCAUCGGAAACCAUUUGGCUAGAGUCCGGAAGAGGAGAGUGGAAUUCCUGGUGUAGCGGUGAAAUGCGCAGAUAUCAGGAAGAACACCAAUGGCGAAGGCGGCUCUCUGGGACGGUACUGACGCUGAGACGCGAAAGCGUGGGGAGCGAACAGG
rnacentral:rRNA from 1 species